rnacentral:rRNA from 1 species
CAAGUCGAGUGGGUUUAGACCCACGGCGAACGGGUGAGUAAUAUCUAGGAACGUAUCUUUAGUUGAGCAUAACCUACCGAAAGGUAGGAUAAUACUCAAUGUGGCCGCAAGGCUAAAGUCGCAAGACGCUAAAGAAGCGGCCUGGACACCAUCAGCUUGUUGGUAAGGUAAUGGCUUACCAAGGCUAUGACGGUUAGGGGCCCCGAGAGGGGAAACCCCCACACUGGAACUGCGACACGGUCCAG